rnacentral:hammerhead_ribozyme from 1 species
AUUCAGCUGACUAAUCCCGAAUAGGACGAAACGCGCGUCCUGGAU